rnacentral:rRNA from 1 species
UAAGCAGAGGAAAAGAAACUAACAAGGAUUCCCCUAGUAAUGGCGAAUGAAGAGGGAAAAGCCCAAAUUUGUAAUCUGGCUCUUUCAGAGUCCGAGUUGUAAUUUUAAGAACUGUUUUCAGUGCUGGACCAUGUAUAAGUCUGUUGAAAGGCAGCAUCAUAGAAGGUGAUAAUCCUGUUCAUGAUGUGGACUACCAGUGCAAUAUGAUACAGUCUCUAAGAGUCGAGUUGUUUGGGAAUGCAGCUCAAAGUGGGU